GACGAACGCUGGCGGCGUGCCUAAUACAUGCAAGUCGACCUUAGUGGCGCACGGGUGAGUAACACGUGGGUAACCUGCCCAUCAGAAGGGGAUAACACUUGGAAACAGGUGCUAAUACCGUAUACUGAUGGCUGGACCCGCGGUGCAUUAGCUAGUUGGUGAGGUACCGGCUCACCAAGGCCACGAUGCAUAGCCGCGCGGUGAGAGUUAUCGGCCACAUUGGGAUGAAUAUACGGCCCAAACUCCUAAGGGAGGCAGCAGUAGCGAAUCUUCGGCAAUGGACGAAAGUCGGACCGAGCAACGCCGCGUGAGUGAAGAAGUUUUUCGGAUCGUAAAACGCUGUUGUUAGAGAAGCGGUAUCUAACCAGAAAGCCACGGCUAACUACGUGCCAGCAGCCGCGGUAAUUC
rnacentral:rRNA from 1 species